UACGGAGGGUGCAAGCGUUGUUCGGAAUUACUGGGCGUAAAGGGCGUGUAGGCGGUAAUGUAAGUCAGACGUGAAAUCCUUCGGCUCAACUGAAGAACUGCGUCUGAUACUGCAUGACUAGAGUGCAGAAGAGGGAAACGGAAUUCCUGGUGUAGAGGUGAAAUUCGUAGAUAUCAGGAGGAACACCGGUGGCGAAGGCGGUUUCCUGGUCUGACACUGACGCUGAGGCGCGAAAGCGUGGGGAGCAAACAGG
rnacentral:rRNA from 1 species